rnacentral:rRNA from 1 species
UACGUAGGCAGCAAGCGUUGUUCGGAGUUACUGGGCGUAAAGGGUGUGUAGGCGGUUGUUUAAGUUUGGUGUGAAAUCUCCCGGCUCAACUGGGAGGGUGCGCCGAAUACUGAAUGACUAGAGUGUGGGAGAGGUGAGUGGAAUUCCUGGUGUAGCGGUGAAAUGCGUAGAUAUCGGGAGGAAUACCAGUGGCGAAGGCGGCUUCUUGGCCUGUUCUUGACGCUGAGGCGCGAAAGCUGGGGGAGCAAACGGG